ensembl:lncRNA
UUUGCUUCUCAGGGCCGUUUAUUGUCCCUUUUCUCUAACAGCUUUGUCCGCUCUGCUGAGCUCUGUCUAGCAGGUCGGUCUGUGGCAGUCUCCCUGCCCUCAGGGCGCUGUUUGCCUUCUACACUAAAAACUACCUGAACUGUGUUUACAAUAACGUGCCAAUAUCUAUCAUUUCUGUUGGACAGUGUGUCUCUACCUUCAACCAACAGAAAAGUGUCACCAUCACAGCAAGACAUGGAGGGCAAAAAGAAGGAGAAGUAGGUCAGGACACACCCAGAUCCCUCCAUCUUGUCCCACUGAACCCCGUAUUUUAAAAUGUUAAAAUUCUACUUUUCCACCCUGUGUUAAUUCACCUACCACGCUACUCAAACCCUUGUGCCUUGUAAUUCCUCAUACAAAGUCGGCAAUUUUCUCCAGGGGCUAAAACCAAAGCCACCGGUGUUCUUGACACCGUGCCAAGGUCUCCGAGGCCCCUGCCAGGGUCUCGAGCCAUCCAGGGCAGCCAGAGGGAUGUCCUGGAUUCUGACACCCCCCAAUUACCGAGCAGUGGGAGCCCCCCGGGCACUGCCCCCCCUUUACCAAGCACCGGGAUAGGGACCGGACCCCCCUCGAACCCUGGGAACCCCACAAGCACCGGGACCCCCCAGGCAGCGCCACCCCCGUGCACCGGGACAGGGACCGGGCCCCCCUCAUGCACUGACCCCGCUGAGCACUGGGCCUGGACCCCCUUUGUGCCCCCCAUCCAUGACGGAGGUUCCAUCCCCUCCGCUUUGACCCCCCAGUGCCGCAGGACCCCCAGGAACAGUGCAGGGACUGUGGGGACCCCAAGGGCUGGGGGGGCACGGGAGGUUAACCAGCACUAGGGGAGCCCCUUAGGGUUCGGUCCUUUCCCCCCCGUUGUCUCCCAGGACCCCCUGUUAUCAUCAGUGCCCCCCCCAAUUUACUGGGACCCUCCAUUCACUGCUUCCCCCCUUCCCUGACUCCCCCAAAGCGCUGGGACCCCCCGAGCUAUGAGCCCCCCGCAGUGCGCCAGGACCCCCCACUCACCUCCCAUCCCCCAUCCAUGGGAACCAACCCAAAUCACAGCAGCACAAGGAGAAGAAGCCAACACCUUCCCCACACCCAGCAUGGAUCACCAGGACCACGGAUCAGCAGGGCUCUGCCCCACGGGGGUCACUGGGGAUCAUCCAGCCCGGAUCCUCCCAUGGGGGAUGGAGCUGGAGCAGCGCACCAAGCUCUUCCCUCACUCUCUUCCCUCACUCCAAGCUCUUCCCUCACUCUCCUCCUUAACUCCAAGCUCUUCCCUCACUCCAAGCUCUUCCCUCACUCUCUUCGCUCACUCCAAGCUCUUCCCUCACUCUCUUCGCUCACUCCAAGCUCUUCCCUCACUCGAGGCACUCACAGGGCAUCCCUUACUGGUGCCUCCGUUGGUGCUGGGUCAAGUGAGAGCUCUGUGAGAAGCUCUUCCCACACUUCCCACACUCGUAGGGCCUCUCCCCGGUGUGGAUGCGCCGGUGCACGGUGAGGUGGGAGUUGCGGUUGAAGCCCUUCCCGCAGUCGGGGCAGCGGAAGGGCCUCUCCUCUGUGUGACUCCGCUCAUGUUUGAGGAGAUCGGAGCUUCUCUGAAACCUCUUCCCACACUGGGGACACUCGUAGGGCCUCUCCCCGGUGUGGAUGCGCUGGUGUUUUCUCAGACCUGAGCUCUGCCCAAAGCUCUUCCCACAUUCCAAGCACUCAUAGGGCCGUUCCCCAGUGUGGAUCACCUGGUGCUCGAUCAGGCCAGACAUGUUUCUGAAACCCUUCCCACACUUCCCACACCCGUAGGGCCUCUCCCCGGUGUGGAUGCGCCGGUGCACGGUGAGGUGGGAGUUUAGCUUGAAGCCGUUCCCGCAGUCGGGGCAGCGGAAGGGCCUCUCCUCUGUGUGACUCCGCUCAUGUUUGAGGAGAUCGGAGCUGGUCCGAAACCUCUUCCCACAC